rnacentral:rRNA from 1 species
UACGUAGGGGGCUAGCGUUAAUCGGAAUUACUGGGCGUAAAGCGUGCGCAGGCGGUUAUGCAAGACAGAGGUGAAAUCCCCGGGCUCAACCUGGGAACUGCCUUUGUGACUGCAUAGCUAGAGUACGGUAGAGGGGGAUGGAAUUCCGCGUGUAGCAGUGAAAUGCGUAGAUAUGCGGAGGAACACCGAUGGCGAAGGCAAUCCCCUGGACCUGUACUGACGCUGAUGCACGAAAGCGUGGGGAGCAAACAGG